GAGCGCCCUUCGGUGAGCGGCGGACGGUUAUAACGCGUGGAGCGUGCCCAAUCUGCGGAAUAGCCACUGGAAACGGUGAGUAAUACCGCUACGCCCCCCAAUCAAAUUUCAUUUGAUUGGCAUUAUUGGAUGUCAAAUUCCAUGGGUGGAAUUUGAUGGGGGGGAAAGAUUUAUCGGAUUUGGAUCGGCCCGCGUUAGAUUAGGUAGUUGGUGGGGUAAUGGCCUACCAAGCCUACGAUCUAUAGCUGGUUUUAGAGGAUGAUCAGCAACACUGGGACUGAGACACGGCCCAGACUCCUACGGGAGGCAGCAGUGGGGAAUCUUGGACAAUGGGCGCAAGCCUGAUCCAGCCAUGCCGCGUGAGUGAAGAAGGCCCUAGGGUCGUAAAGCUCUUUCGCCAGAGAUGAUAAUGACAGUAUCUGGUAAAGAAACCCCGGCUAACUCCGUGCCAGCAGCCGCGGUAAUACGGAGGGGGUUAGCGUUGUUCGGAAUUACUGGGCGCAAAGCGCACGUAGGCGGAUUGGAAAGUGUGGGGUGAAAUCCCGGGGCUCAACCCCGGAACUGCCUUGCAAACUAUCAAUCUAGGGUUCGAGAGAGGUGAGUGGAAUUCCGAGUGUAGAGGUGAAAUUCGUAGAUAUUCGGAGGAACACCAGUGGCGAAGGCGGCUCACUGGCUCGAUACUGACGCUGAGAUGCGAAAGUGUGGGGAGCAAACAGGAUUAGAUACCCUGGUAGUCCACACCGUAAACGAUGAAUGCCAGUCGUCGGGUAGUAUACUAUUCGGUGACACACCUAACGGAUUAAGCAUUCCGCCUGGGAGU
rnacentral:rRNA from 1 species